rnacentral:lncRNA from 1 species
CUCCCAUCUGUCAUGGCAGCUGCAGCAAGCCUCACCCAAGGAGAGUCUGGCUGGAGGCCAAACAACACAAAACCAGCACACUUAACAAAAAUAUAACCAAUGACCCUUGCAGAGUCCACUUAACUCCCCUCCACCAGAGCAGGUGCUGGUAUCCACAGCUGAGAGACCUGAAGAUGGAUCACAUCACAGGACUCCUUGCAGACAUUCUCCAGUACCAGCCCAGAGCCUGACCUGUCCACGCUGAGUUUAUAGCAACUGUCAAUUACGGUUCAGAUUUUCCUACCCCAGCGUGACUUUCCAAAGAGGCUUCUGCUCAUGGAUUUCUGCUCCAGGAAGAUGCAACAGGAAGGUCCUCACAAGAUGGCUGAACAGAUGCAGGUGCUGUGCCUCUGGACUGCCUAGCCUCCAGAACUGAUACAUAUGCAGGAUGUGCAGCUUUGUUACACAGGAGGUGUUGGAAGCUGUGAAUGUGGAUGAAAGUACCAAUAUAGAGAGAACAGAGUGAGAAUAGAAGACAGCCCAAGAAUCUAAAGUCAUGCACUUGCAAGGGAGUCAGAGGAAGAGAGGGAAAAUGGUUCAUUGUUUCCAUCAUGUACUCUAUGGAAUACAAAGCUCUGAAACCUGUUGGCUACUGGAAGUGUACAAGAAAAAGACUCUCAAGCUAGAGGUGGGGUAGAGCUGGAGCCAGCCAUGUCAAGAUCUUUCGAGGACAUGAACAUUUUUUAUGCUUAUUAAAAGAUGAUGUGGUUUUAAAAUAAAUCUAAGGCUGGGCGCAGUGGCUCAUGCCUGGAAUCCCAGCAGUUUGGGAGGCUGAGGCGGGUGGAUUGCUUGAGCUCAGUAAUUCAAGACCAGCCUGGGCAACAUGGCAAGAAACUCUCUCUACUAAAAACAGAAAAAU